UACGAAGGGGGCUAGCGUUGUUCGGAAUUACUGGGCGUAAAGCGCACGUAGGCGGAUAUUUAAGUCAGGGGUGAAAUCCCGAGGCUCAACCUCGGAACUGCCUUUGAUACUGGGGAUCUCGAGUCCGGGAGAGGUGAGUGGAACUGCGAGUGUAGAGGUGAAAUUCGUAGAUAUUCGCAAGAACACCAGUGGCGAAGGCGGCUCACUGGCCCGGAACUGACGCUGAGGUGCGAAAGCGUGGGGAGCAAACAGG
rnacentral:rRNA from 1 species